rnacentral:rRNA from 1 species
CAAGUCGCAGGGUAACAUGAGGAAAGCUUGCUUUCCUUGAUGACGACUGGCGCACGGGUGAGUAACGCGUAUCCAACCUUCCCAUAACUACGGGAUAACCCGUUGAAAGACGGCCUAAUACCGUAUGAUAUCGUUUGCUGACAUCAAAUAACGAUUAAAGGUUUAGCGGUUAUGGAUGGGGAUGCGUCUGAUUAGCUUGUUGGCGGGGUAACGGCCCACCAAGGCUACGAUCAGUAGGGGUUCUGAGAGGAAGGUCCCCACAUUGGAACUGAGACACGGUCCAAACUCC